CUUGCUUCUCUGAUGUUAGCGGCGGACGGGUGAGUAACACGUGGAUAACCUACCUAUAAGACUGGGAUAACUUCGGGAAACCGGAGCUAAUACCGGAUAAUAUUUUGAACCGCAUGGUUCAAAAGUGAAAGACGGUCUUGCUGUCACUUAUAGAUGGAUCCGCGCUGCAUUAGCUAGUUGGUAAGGUAACGGCUUACCAAGGCAACGAUGCAUAGCCGACCUGAGAGGGUGAUCGGCCACACUGGAACUGAGACACGGUCCAGACUCCUACGGGAGGCAGCAGUAGGGAAUCUUCCGCAAUGGGCGAAAGCCUGACGGAGCAACGCCGCGUGAGUGAUGAAGGUCUUCGGAUCGUAAAACUCUGUUAUUAGGGAAGAACAUAUGUGUAAGUAACUGUGCACAUCUUGACGGUACCUAAUCAGAAAGCCACGGCUAACUACGUGCCAGCAGCCGCGGUAAUACGUAGGUGGCAAGCGUUAUCCGGAAUUAUUGGGCGUAAAGCGCGCGUAGGCGGUUUUUUAAGUCUGAUGUGAAAGCCCACGGCUCAACCGUGGAGGGUCAUUGGAAACUGGAAAACUUGAGUGCAGAAAAAGAAAGUGGAAUUCCAUGUGUAGCGGUGAAAUGCGCAGAGAUAUGGAGGAACACCAGUGGCGAAGGCGACUUUCU
rnacentral:rRNA from 1 species